CCCUUAGAUGUUCUGGGCCGCACGCGCGCUACACUGAUGCACUCAACGAGUCUCACCUUGACCGAAAGGUCCGGGAAAUCUUCGAACUUGCAUCGUGAUGGGGAUAGAUUAUUGCAACUAUUAAUCUUCAACGAGGAAUACCUAGUAGGCGUGUGUCAUCAGCGCGCGUCGAUUACGUCCCUGCCCUUUGUACACACCGCCCGUCGCUACUACCGAUUGAAUGAUUUAGUGAGGACUUCGGACUGGGACCGAUGCGGCUUUCGGGCUGCGUCGGUAUUCUGGAAAGAUGUCCAAACUGUAUCAUUUAGAGGAAGUAAAAGUCGUAACA
rnacentral:rRNA from 1 species